UCGCUGUGAAGAUGCAGUGUACCCGCGGCAAGACGGAAAGACCCCGUGAACCUUUACUAUAGCUUGACACUGAACACUGGUCCUUGAUGUGUAGGAUAGGUGGGAGGCUUUGAAGCGUGGACGCCAGUCUGCGUGGAGCCGACCUUGAAAUACCACCCUUUAAUGGCUGGUGUUCUAACGUAGACCCGUUACCCGGGUUGCGGACAGUGUCUGGUGGGUAGUUUGACUGGGGCGGUCUCCUCCCAAAGAGUAACGGAGGAGCACGAAGGUUAGCUAAUCCUGGUCGGACAUCAGGAGGUUAGUGCAAUGGCAUAAGCUAGCUUGACUGCGAGAGUGACGGCUCGAGCAGGUGCGAAAGCAGGUCAUAGUGAUCCGGUGGUUCUGAAUGGAAGGGCCAUCGCUCAACGGAUAAAAGGUACUCCGGGGAUAACAGGCUGAUACCGCCCAAGAGUUCAUAUCGACGGCGGUGUUUGGCACCUCGAUGUCGGCUCAUCACAUCCUGGGGC
rnacentral:rRNA from 1 species